CCUCUCUCUCUCUCUCUCUCUCUCUAUGCGGAUCAAAACCCUCCAUCGGCUGCCCUUAUCACCUCUUGAACUGCAAUUUCAUUUUUGGCUUCUCCAAUCUGGAUUUCUCUGUAUGAAUGAGUUCCGAUCGGGAAAUAUUUACAUCUAGAACUUUUUGAUUGUAGAAAGGUUGGACAUUUUCUUUUAAUUUUUUUAAAAUUCGGUAUAUUUAUUUUAGAACUUUUUUCCAUCUGAAAUGUUUGAAUGUUUUUGUUUUUUCGAACAAUCCCUAGAUCCUUGUGGAGCUUCGAUUCCGAACGAAGCCCCUUUCUUAAUAACAAGGUAUUGUCUUUGUAUUCUACAAUGAAAAUUAAAUUUGUUUUGAUAGUGAAGGGCAUAAAAAGGAUAGAGCAUAAGUUUACUCCAUCAUUUAUCACUUUUAUGUACCUAAAUUAUUUUUAUUUCAUGUUUUUGUUGUGUGUUUUGGGUUCUAAUUUAUUACUUCUUUUUAUUUUUUAUUUUUUAUUAUUAUUUUUUGAGUUCUGUGAAACUCUUACAGUGGAACAUUACAUUAGCAACAAAA